rnacentral:rRNA from 1 species
GAACCUGCGGAGGGAUCAUUACCGAGUUUACAACUCCCAAACCCAAUGUGAACGUUACCAAACUGUUGCCUCGGCGGGGUCACGCCCCGGGUGCGUCGCAGCCCCGGAACCAGGCGCCCGCCGGAGGAACCAACCAAACUCUUUCUGUAGUCCCCUCGCGGACGUAUUUCUUACAGCUCUGAGCAAAAAUUCAAAAUGAAUCAAAACUUUCAACAACGGAUCUCUUGGUUCUGGCAUCGAUGAAGAACGCAGCGAAAUGCGAUAAGUAAUGUGAAUUGCAGAAUUCAGUGAAUCAUCGAAUCUUUGAACGCACAUUGCGCCCGCCAGUAUUCUGGCGGGCAUGCCUGUCCGAGCGUCAUUUCAACCCUCGAACCCCUCCGGGGGAUCGGCGUUGGGGAUCGGGACCCCUCACACGGGUGCCGGCCCCGAAAUACAGUGGCGGUCUCGCCGCAGCCUCUCCUGCGCAGUAGUUUGCACAACUCGCACCGGGAGCGCGGCGCGUCCACGUCCGUAAAACACCCAACUUUCUGAAAUGUUGACCUCGGAUCAGGUAGGAAUACCCGCUGAACUUAAGCAUAUCAAU